AAAAAAUCAAAAAAGUACUUCAGAGCUCUUCCCCCUUUCCUCCUGGCCUGAUUUCAAUGCAAGGCAGAAUUUUAAGUCUUGAUUCCUUUGGGAAAUAAUCAGACUGCUAUGAAAUAUAGAAAGUGAUUCUGAUCUCUAAGUAGGACGAUUUAAAUACAAACCCUCUUUUAAUCCCACAUUCCCUCUGUAAACAACUAUUUCUUACCUCUUUUGGAGCCAAACUUCUUAAAGAAGCUGUCUACAUAUGGUACCUACUUCUUUCCCCCUUCCCUUCACUUAACCUUCAAACUCCUGAAAUCUGGCUUCCUCUCAGUACUCCAUAAACCUUAGAAUUUCCAUACAAGAACCCAAAACAGCAACAAAUUCAAAACAGGUUCCAAGAAUUAGGAAGAUAAGUGAGCAGAGUUUAUCUGGAAAACAAGAAAAUCCAGGACACAUCUUUGGCAAAUACAUUGCCAGAUGAGAUGCAACAAAAACUGUUCAUCUCAGAACUAUCAAGAAACAAACAAUUUUAGAAAGACACAAACAUGAAUACUGAAAACAGAACAGCCAUGGGACUGAAAUUCAAAAGGCAUAAUGCCUAAUAUUAAAGAUACAAACAGUAAGCAAGACAAGAGUUGAAAUGGAAUUCUUCCAUUGAGACUGUCAAAUGUAAAAUAAAUAAAUGUAAAGUUCAUCACCAAAAACAGCACUUAAUUUUCAAUACAUUAUCAAUUUUUGCAUCCCAUUACUAGGAAAGUAUUCCAUUGAAAUAGCACAGGACUGAUGGGGGUCUUUUACAUCACACUUAUGUAAGAUGCUGCUUAGUUGCAGUUAAGCAAUUACAAUAAAGUGCUCUAUUAUAUUAUAUUAGUUACUUGCAAUAUACUUUUAUACAUUACCACUUAGGCAACUGCUUUAUUUCAGCAUGUUUAACAUUUAAAUGAACGUUUUCUGUAAUUUUUCUGUCUUAAUAUAAAAGACUAUGAAACAUUCACUAGGAAAUGCCUCUACAUAUGCUAACAUUGAGUCAAUAGCAUAAAUGCUCUCCAGUUCAAUGUGGACAACUGCCAAGAAACUAUGAAAGAUUCUGCUUAAUACUAUAUUAAUGACUAAAAGUCUGAUGGUACAGAAUAAGGAAGGAGGAAAGCUGAGUUUUAUUUUGGCUCAAAGGUAGAAAAAAAAGAUCAUUUAGAUUAUGUCAAGGGUUAUGGUUACUGAACUUUACCUUAUGGAGGUGGAGUAACUCAAACAAAUCCCCAGGCUAUUCCAUUUAUAAGCACCUAUGUGCCAAAUUCACCAAGUCAUGGCUUAGGAGUAAAUAGAUGAUUUUGAUGAACAUUUUCUAAAACAUUUUCUAAAAUGUCUUAAGACAGAACUCACUGAGGAUUAACCUUUACAGCAAGUUCAAAAACAGUACUAUAAAGUCCAUAAUCGAAUUACGAAUUAUACGGACCUACUUACAUAAUUGCUUAAAACUGUACAUCUCUGCAGUUUCCUUAAGUGGCUAUAUUCAUGAACAUAUUUAUAUUGGAUUAAGUUCAGCUUUAUAUACUUAUUCUUGCAAAGAAAUGUUCUAGUGCCACUUUAAUUAUCCAAACCUACUAAAAACUGAGAAAUAAAAAUCAUGAAAGGCUCAUUUUUCUGGUUAAUUAAACACAGCAGCUACAAUUAUACCAACCUGUUACAAAAACAACAGUGGGUCAACUAAACAAGACUAGAAAACAUAUGCUUAAGUUUUCUGAAUGCUGUUAAAGUAAAAUGUGUAAAUAUGAAAUAUUUGUUUCCAGAAUAAGUUAAAAAUCUGAGUUUCCUGAGAAACUCCAAAUGCUGAACCCUGUAUAACAUGCUCAUCUGUGUCCACUUUAAAAAUAAAUGGUGUAGAAAACAUUUAACUCAAUAUAAGGCUAUCCAAUAUGAUAAUUUUGGUAAAAUGCUUUUCAUUUUCCCCCUUAAGUUUCCAUGUCUUAAUUCUGUGACCAACUUAAAAUAACUCUUACUGUAACUGCUGGGGUUUACAUCACCUUUGGAUUGCUGGCAUUUCAUUUCUGAGAAUGGUUAAGAAAAUUGAUUUUAUUUUGGAAGCGAUAAAGAAAGGCAGACAAUAUAACUGAUAGUUGCUCUCUCAAAUUUCAUAGCUUGAAAUAUAAAAGCAUUAUUUUAGAUCUCUGCAGGCAUGAAACAAUUCUAACAUUUUUUAUAAUUUGGGACAUCACCUUUUAGAGAAUUAACUAACUACACUGAUUCUCAAUGAAGACAGGGCCUAAUUUUCAUAACCAAUUGAGGGUUUUUCAAACUAUACAAGUACACAAGCAAAAUUUUAUUGUAAUUUUUUUCAAUUUCAGCUACCCCAGGCACUACCAUGAAAACAGUAACAGGAAUUUUACAUUCCUUACGUGGUACGGGCUGAAAAAAAAUGUCUUAUAUCAUAAUUCUAUCAAAGGAGAAACUGGAACUAUACUUUGUUAAGAAUUUGGUCAUACAAGUUUGACUUACCAACAAACUGUGAGAAGAGUUCAUCUAAGGAUAAUAUGCAAAAGGAAAGGAGAAAAACAGCACUAAUAUAUCAGCCUUUUAAGACCUUCCGACACCCUCAAGAAGAAAGAAAAUUUCUCAUCUUUUCAUAGUGAAGACAGAUUCUGAAAAAGAACACACAGCAUUGUUUAAUAACACAACUGGAGAAAAAACACAGUUCAUUCGAGAUACUGGGCAAAACAACUUGAAAGACCAAUGACUUUAGUCUCAGCUACUUAGUUUGAAAGAAAAUUAGUUGCUAACGUAGUGGUAUAUAUGGAGUUCUACAAAUUAAACACUAAUUGUAUUUUUAAAGUAAGUUGGUGGUCCAUGGUCCUGAAGAUCCCGUCUGGGCAGUAAUUUUAGUAUCCACUCUAUGUUUAUUCAAGAACCCUCUUACUCAGUAACCAAUCUCCAGCCGUCCACAGGUCGAUCAUCAGUAUUCCCUUUUAACGUCUCCCUGCCUUCGCUGGCAAGUAUGAAGAUGUCAUUUUAAACAGGGA